GAUGAACGCUGGCGGCGUGCCUAAUACAUGCAAGUCGAGCGAACAGACGAGGAGCUUGCUCCUCUGACGUUAGCGGCGGACGGGUGAGUAACACGUGGAUAACCUACCUAUAAGACUGGGAUAACUUCGGGAAACCGGAGCUAAUACCGGAUAAUAUAUUGAACCGCAUGGUUCAAUAGUGAAAGACGGUUUUGCUGUCACUUAUCGAUGGAUCCGCGCCGCAUUAGCUAGUUGGUAAGGUAACGGCUUACCAAGGCUAGGAUGCGUAGCCGACCUGAGAGGGUGAUAGGCCACACUGGAACGGAGACACGGUCCAGACUCCUACGGGAGGCAGCAGUAGGGAAUCUUCCGCAAUGGGCGAAAGCCUGACGGAGCAACGCCGCGUGAGUGAUGAAGGUCUUCGGAUCGUAAAGCUCUGUUAUUAGGGAAGAACAAAUGUGUAAGUAACUAUGCACGUCUUGACGGUACCUAAUCAGAAAGCCACGGCUAACUACGUG
rnacentral:rRNA from 1 species